UACGUAGGUGGCAAGCGUUGUCCGGAUUUACUGGGCGUAAAGAGCGCGCAGGCGGUCGUUCAAGUCGAGUGUGAAAGCCCCCGGCUCAACUGGGGAGGGUCAUUCGAUACUGAUCGACUCGAAGGCAGGAGAGGGUAGUGGAAUUCCCGGUGUAGUGGUGAAAUGCGUAGAUAUCGGGAGGAACACCAGUGGCGAAGGCGACUACCUGGCCUGUUCUUGACGCUGAGGCGCGAAAGCUAGGGAGCAACGGG
rnacentral:rRNA from 1 species